rnacentral:lncRNA from 1 species
CUUUCCCCAGCGGCUCCCAGGGCAUUUCUGAAGCAGUUCACUUCUCGCCCAGGACUCCCAGUUUUGAAUGCUAGAUGGCGCUGUAACCUGAUUGAAAGAAGACUGUCCCAACAAAGGGAGAUAUCAGCAACUUUUAUAACUAGAUUACAUAAGAGACCUCUAUGCAUCAGUAAGAGAAAAAGUCAUAAGCCAGGGGAGAUGGACAAAUUAUUUGAAAAACUACCACAACAUAGGAGAGGAUUAAACAUGUUCACUGGCAAGUUGUAUUUCCAUGUUGUCCUUCUACAACAAUGUACCCAAGCACACAUUGCUGCCCUGUGAACACCAAGGACAUCCGCCAGAGGUCGGGGUCACCAGGACGCUGACAUUCUGGAAGUAAACAACGUUAAUGGGGGAAAUAUGGUGAAUUAGAAACGAUCAAUUUGUAUGGAGGAAUAAGCUGGGAGGAAGGGAAUGGUAGUGGAACUCCUCCACACUUCUCAGUUCGUCUCUCUCUCCAACUGCCUGAUGCAGCUUCCAUCAACAGAGAAGUGCUGGCACUGAGAAGGUGCCCCUCCUGCUCCAUGAAGAUGCACUUGAUCCAGAAAG